GUGUUUGCUUCAGCAGCACAUACACUAAAAUUGGAAUGAUACAGAGGUUAGCAUGGCCGUGCGCAAGGGUGACACACUAAUUUGUGAAGCAUUCCUUAAUUUU